rnacentral:lncRNA from 1 species
UCGGUACGAGCCGAGGGGAGCAAUUAAAUCCCAAUGUCUAGCCGACUUCUCAGCGGAGUUAACACCACAACAAGACUCCUCAACCAGAUGGACGUUCUAUGUAAUAUUUGAUUUUAUUUUAUUAUUAUAGGUAUUGCAUCAUUUCCUGUUUUUUUAAAAAAUUAAAUUUUUAUAUUUUUCAAAAAAUUUAAAUAACUAUUUUUUUAUAUAUUUAAUUUUAUUUUUAUAUUAAAAUAGUUAUUAGUAGUAUUUUAGUUAUU